rnacentral:misc_RNA from 1 species
AAGUCGUAACAAGGUAACCGUAGGUGAACCUGCGGUUGGAUCAUUAUUAUAAACAAUGUUAUCCCGUCGAAAUGUGUGGCCCACAGCGGGGCACGCAUUCCGAAAGGGUUUGGGCUUGGGGCUGUCAAAGCCCUCCAGCCCGGUAAAACCAACCACCCUUCUGUGAACCGUAUAUAAAUUCAUCCACGUAACAUUCAUUUCACAAUCUAAAGUAAAAGUGUUUUUACACUUUCAUAUCACAACAAAUAUGAAAACAAAAAACAACUUUUGGCAACGGAUCUCUUGGUUCUG